ACUUUGAAUGACUCUAAGUUGGAAUGAUUGACAGGCACGGAACUAGGGUGCGGCAGGAUUGUGCUGCAUUUGGGAGUAAGAUCAGAAGCUGUGUGGAAAGCAGUGAGGUUGGGUUUAACCUCAAUGGCCUGAGCAAAGUAGCUUUAUGUAAAUUUGGUUGUGAAAUUAUGGCGACUUCAAUGAGAAAGGAAGAAACCUAGUAGCUCGCGAAGUGUUUUAUCUAUUGCUUGGCUUUCAUUUUAGAGAGAAUCUUGCGUAGGGCAUCCGCACGAAACACGUGGUGGGGAGGACCAAUCACUGUCCAGCAGGGGGGUGUUUUGGGUAUUGCACUUUAGAGAGCAAGGGCAGUUUCGGAAAAGAUGGAAAAUUUGCUUGCUUCUGAUUGAAUGGCCGUAAGGCCACGUGGUGGGGAAACCCCCACCUAAGUAUUUGUCUUCAUUUUAUUCUCUUUCAAGUAUGCUUGUCUGUCCAACCUCGCAUGCAUAUCAAUUAUCAAGCACUUCAAACUAACGACUAUGGCUUCUUGUAUAAUUUUUUACUGCUUUGCAACUAAUUCAGAACUCUAUCAAUUUCUGCAGACA